rnacentral:rRNA from 1 species
GAUGAACGCUGGCGGCGUGCUUAACACAUGCAAGUCGAGCGAUGAAGUUUCCUUCGGGAAACGGAUUAGCGGCUGACGGGUGAGUAACACGUGGGUAGCCUGCCUCAUAGAGUGGAAUAGCCAUCCGAAAGGAAGAGUAAUACCGCAUAACGUUGAAAGAUGACAUCAUCAUUCAACUAAAGGAGCAAUCCGCUAUGAGAUGGACCCGGGGGGCAUUAGCUAGUUGGAGGGGGAACGGCCUACCAAGGCGACGAAGCGUAGCCGACCUGAGAGGGGGAACGGCCACAUGGGGACUGAGACACGGACCAGACUGCUACGGGAGGCAGCAGGGGAGAAUAUUGCACAAUGGGGGAAACCCUGAUGUAGCAACGCCGGGUGAGUGAUGAAGGUUUUCGGAUCGUAAAGCGCUGUCUUUGGGUAAGAUAAUGACGGUACCCAAGGAGGAAGCCACGGCUAACUACGUGCCAGCCGCCGCCGUAACAC